UUGAAGAAACCCUAGAUCGGCCGCACAAGUUGUUCCUCUCCUAAUCAUGGCAAUUCUCCAUCUUCACUUCGCCAUCCCUUCAUCAUCUUCAAUGGCGGCCAGAAACACACUCCUCAAGUACUGGCGUGACACCCAUUCUUCAAUCUGGCCAGAACGUGACACCAGUUCUUCUAUCUUUAUCCCCUCAAAACCCUAUCAUAAUCGUUCUUCAGUAUUGUGCAUACGAAGGUAACAGAGAAGAUGUUCAAACCUUCGCCACUGGAGAUUCUUCACCAUCGGCCACUGCUAACGGCGGCGGCACCACCGAAGAGUUCAGUGAUUCCAAGUCACAGGUGAUUGUUUGUUUCGAUUUCGUAAGUGAUUUGGGGAUGAGUCCGAGUAUGGUCCAAGAAAAUGAAAGUUAAAUGCGUAAGAUAGGGUUGUCUCUGAGUAGUCAAAAAAUUUGAGGACAUCACCAAUAACAUGGGUAACUGUUUGAAUUCUUCUUCCGCUAAAGUGGACGCCACACUCAACUCCAGAACAUCCGGGAUGUCGAAAGUUGGCAGCAAAAUCAGUUCGUCGUCCGGCCCAUUCAGCACGACGAUUUCAACGUACAGUGGUGGAAGCAGCAGUAUAGAUAGUGUUAGUACACCACGAUCCGAAGGAGAGGUAUUAUCAUCUUCAAACUUGAAGCCCUUCUCCUUCAUGGAGUUAAAGAACACCAUGUGAAACUUUAGACCCGACAGUCUGCUAGGCGAAGGAGGGUUCGGGUAUGUUUUCAAAGGGUGGAUUGAUGAACUCACUCAUUUGGCUACGAAGCCAGGGUCUGGAAUGGCGAUUGCUGUCAAAAAGCUUAAACCGGAAGGUUUUCAAGGCCAUCACCAAUAGAGGUAAGUUAUUUGAGGACGUCACAAAUAUCAUUUACACAUUGUAUCAUUUGUUGGCUUAGGUGGUGCUCAGUCGGUUGUCUCUGAGUAGUCAAAAAAUUUGAGGACAUCACCAAUAGAGGUUGUUGGCAUGAAGAGGAUGUAGCCCUUUUUGUUGGAAAGCGGAUCGAUUCUAAGUAUUUAGCUGCAAAUUUUUCUUGCAUAUGUGUCUCAAAAUCUCAAGUUUGGCUCGUGUUAGGUAUAUGCAUUGGUUUUAAAAAAAUGGAGGUAUGAAAUUAAUAUUUUAAGUGUUUCUUAUCUUAUGGUUUCAAACAACAUAUUUUUUGUUUUUUUUUCUCUUUAUGGGGUAAAUAAAAUAAACCAGUUACUUAAUAACACCCGAUUCCUUUAAAUAAAAUAGGAGAACAUAUGCAACUUUUUUUUACUUAUAUAAGGAUGUAUCAAAAAUCAACCUAAAAAUCAUUGAUGUCGAAAUCAGUCACUGACUCGAAAACAAAGUUGCAGGGCUGGAUACAACCUUUUUAGUGAAAAUACGUAGGCUUUUAUCACAUAUAAACCUUUGUUUUUUAGACUAACAAAAUUUAUGUGUGCAGAAUGGGCCCAAGUACUUUGACAAGGUGAACGUGUCUUGAACAAAGGAUGGGGCUUUGAUUGCUGUUGCAACCAGUGCUAUAGUGGGUAAAGAUUGGAAAAUUGGGGUUUUGAAACACUAGAUAGUUGCAACUCAGGGUAUUUGGAUAGAAGACGGUCGUCAACGGGUUCCUUUGCAUGAAUUUUGUCUGUUGGAGUUUCGGUUACAGAAUGAAGGGAUUACUCCUUGAAACAUACUAAAGGAGAUUGUAUGGAACAAAGAUACAGAGGUUACACAGGUAUGUGGUGUUGUUUAUACGAAAUCAUGUUUUUUUUUCAGUGGAAAUGUUGUGUUUUGAACCUGCAAACGCAUGGUUAACAGACUUAGAAGUUACCCGUUGUAUUGUA